rnacentral:misc_RNA from 1 species
GCAAAUCAAAUCCGCUCUGCGGUAUAGGAAGGAUAAUGUGAUUAAUAGUCUUGUAAAAAGACAAUAUUUUUCGACUAAUAUAAGUCAUGGCUGUAUAUGCAAACUUUCUUAUAAUGGUGGUAUUACUAGACAUAGCCAACCAUAUUACAUGUUGUCCAGAGCCAUGUUUGCCGGUGUAGCUACAGUUAGUAAUGGAGUGGAGACCAGAGGCG